ensembl:lncRNA
AUGCUGAAUUUUCAUCAAGGGAGUAGGAAAAGUCACAGUUGGGAAAUAGUUCAGAGGAUCAAGACAAUGAAAAGGCUAGGCCAAAAUGGGAAAAUGAGUCAGGAAGCUGAAAGGCAGGAAAUUGGGAUGGGUCGAGGCAGGUGUUUUCAGGCUAAAACCAUGACUAAUGCAAGGUGUGGGAAGCCCGGUGUGCUGGGACGGCCUUGGGAGGAAGGGGCCGGCCUGGCAGCCUGGUGUGCGGGACUAGAACCCACAGCUUCUCAGGGUGACUAUUGUCAUGGCCCAGACCCUGUGUUUACCUAUAUUUGUCUGACUCCCUGCAACAGGGUCGGCUCUAGGCCUGGGGUGAGGGCUGCUCCCUGCCAUACAUCGUCAACCUUGCAGAGUCUGUCAAGCACCCACUCUGCUCCAGCAAGGGGAAGCCUCCGAAAAACGUUCAAGACACGGGCCCUACCUUCCAGUUCCCUGUGGAGUUUCGAGCAUUGGUUCUGCCGGUGGGUCUACUCAAAAGGCCUUGAUGACAGCUGGGGCCCGAUCGCCUGGAUGGUGAUGGGGAGAAUACAGGGCACGGGAGACGGAGGAAGGAGUGCGCACACAUUCACGCGGACAAGCCAGUCCCUCCAUCAUCCUGCUCCUCUGCAAUUGGCAGAAGCAGAAAAUUCUUUAUUUUCUGUCUCAUGUCCGUGAUGGCAAAGACCCUGCCCUGUAACAGGAGUGUUUUUGUAUCUCUAAUAAGAAUCCAAAGUUGAAUCAGAAGUCAGGCUGUUAGUCCUGACUUGCGACAGGAGCAUUAUUCCCACUUGGGAUGGAGGAGGCAGUGGGGGGGGGGGGGGGGGGGGGGCGGGCGCACUCUGAGAAGUACCGGAAGUCACUUUAGGUUAUAGGGCUGGUAAGGACAGACGCCGUGAUCCAGGGGAGCAGAGCCACCAGCACGCCCGCCCUGGACUGGAUGUGAGCAAGAGUGAGCUUCUGUCUAACCCAUGAAAAUGUUGGGUCUCGCUGCUUUCGGCCCCCAGCCUACCGUAGCUAAUGCAUCUCACGACCCAAGAAGCCAGGUUUAGAAGGGUGUGGUCCCCAGUUUAGUGACAAAAACAAAAAACAAAACACAAAACACAGGCACACUUGUGGGAACCACAGACAUGGUCCAGGCAUUCCGUUCACUCAAGAGUGUAGAAGGAGGGUACAGCAUCCCCAGCUGUCUGUACCUGUCCCUCAUGAACCGAAGCCUUGAGGGAACCCCUGCGCCACACCCCCAGCACCUGGGCCAGUGCCUAAAGUAUAGUAGGACUGAAGCAAUAUGUGUCAAAUUAAAGAAUGAAUGAAUACAAACACAUGCACAUAAAUAACAUAUGCAUCCCUACACACACAUUUACAGGCAAAUAUGCCCAAUGCGUAAGUGCUGAAAACAUUCAGUUAUAGACAGCCAUAUACAAUACAGAUAUUUAAAUAUACACACUCAUGCACAGCACAUGCUUGUGCCCACGUACACAAAUCCAAAUCCAAAAUAAGAAACACACAUAAACACAUGUGCUAUGCCCACACAGACAUUAUGGACAAACAUAUAUGAUCCAGGCACGCACGGAUCUGCUCACCCCCAUACACAUGCACAGCAAUGCCCAGACACCCUUCACCAUGACCCUGGGCCCAGGAAGGAGUCUGUCAGCUCCAUGAAUCCUACCUAACAUGC